rnacentral:rRNA from 1 species
UACAGAGGGGGCGAGCGUUGUUCGGAAUUACUGGGCGUAAAGGGCGCGUAGGCGGCCCGCUAAGUCGAACGUGAAAUCCCCAGGCUCAACCUGGGAACUGCGUCCGAUACUGGCAGGCUUGAAUCCGGGAGAGGGAUGUAGAAUUCCAGGUGUAGCGGUGAAAUGCGUAGAUAUCUGGAGGAACACCGGUGGCGAAGGCGGGUCUCUGGGCCGAUACUGACGCUGAGGAGCGAAAGCGUGGGGAGCGAACAGG